AGUGAACGCUGGCGGUAGGCCUAACACAUGCAAGUCGAACGGCAGCACAGUAAGAGCUUGCUCUUACGGGUGGCGAGUGGCGGAUGGGUGAGGAAUACAUCGGAAUCUACUUUUUCGUGGGGGAUAACGUAGGGAAACUUACGCUAAUACCGCAUACGACCUACGGGUGAAAGCAGGGGAUCUUCGGACCUUGCGCGAUUGAAUGAGCCGAUGUCGGAUUAGCUAGUUGGCGGGGUAAAGGCCCACCAAGGCGACGAUCCGUAGCUGGUCUGAGAGGAUGAUCAGCCACACUGGAACUGAGACACGGUCCAGACUCCUACGGGAGGAAGCAGUGGGGAAUAUUGGACAAUGGGCGCAAGCCUGAUCCAGCCAUACCGCGUGGGUGAAGAAGGCCUUCGGGUUGUAAAGCCCUUUUGUUGGGAAAGAAAAGCAGCAGGUUAAUACCCCGCUGUUCUGACGGUACCCAAAGAAUAAGCACCGGCUAACUUCGUG
rnacentral:rRNA from 1 species